rnacentral:rRNA from 1 species
GACGAACGCUGGCGGCGUGCUUAACACAUGCAAGUCGAACGGAAAGGCCCUGCUUUUGUGGGGUGCUCGAGUGGCGAACGGGUGAGUAACACGUGAGUAACCUGCCCUUGACUUUGGGAUAACUUCAGGAAACUGGGGCUAAUACAGGAUAGGAGCUCCUGCUGCAUGGUGGGGGUUGGAAAGUUUCGGCGGUUGGGGAUGGACUCGCGGCUUAUCAGCUUGUUGGUGGGGUAGUGGCUUACCAAGGCUUUGACGGGUAGCCGGUCUGAGAGGGUGACCGGCCACGUUGGGACUGAGAUGCGGCCCAGACUCCUACGGGAGGCAGCAGUGGGGAAUAUUGCACUGUGGGCGGGAGCCUGAUGCAGCGACGCCGCGUGCGGUAUGACGGCCUUCGGGUUGUAAACCGCUUUCGCCUGUGACGAAGCGUGAGUGACGGUAAUGGGUAAAGAAGCACCGGCUAACUACGUG